AGCGAACGCUGGCGGCAGGCUUAACACAUGCAAGUCGAGCGGGCAUAGCAAUAUGUCAGCGGCAGACGGGUGAGUAACGCGUGGGAACGUACCUUUUGGUUCGGAACAACACAGGGAAACUUGUGCUAAUACCGGAUAAGCCCUUACGGGGAAAGAUUUAUCGCCGAAAGAUCGGCCCGCGUCUGAUUAGCUAGUUGGUGAGGUAAUGGCUCACCAAGGCGACGAUCAGUAGCUGGUCUGAGAGGAUGAUCAGCCACAUUGGGACUGAGACACGGCCCAAACUCCUACGGGAGGCAGCAGUGGGGAAUAUUGGACAAUGGGCGCAAGCCUGAUCCAGCCAUGCCGCGUGAGUGAUGAAGGCCCUAGGGUUGUAAAGCUCUUUUGUGCGGGAAGAUAAUGACGGUACCGCAAGAAUAAGCCCCGGCUAACUUCGUACCAGCCGCCGCCGUAA
rnacentral:rRNA from 1 species